AACGAACGCUGGCGGCAGGCUUAACACAUGCAAGUCGAGCGCCCCGCAAGGGGAGCGGCAGACGGGUGAGUAACGCGUGGGAAUCUACCCAUCCCUACGGAAUAGCUCCGGGAAACUGGAAUUAAUACCGUAUACGCCAUACGGGGGAAAGAUUUAUCGGGGAUGGAUGAGCCCGCGUUGGAUUAGCUAGUUGGUGGGGUAAAGGUCUACCAAGGCGACGAUCCAUAGCUGGUCUGAGAGGAUGCUCAGCCACAUUGGGACUGAGACACGGCCCAAACUCCUACGGGAGGCAGCAGUGGGGAAUAUUGGACAAUGGGGGCAACCCUGAUCCAGCCAUGCCGCGUGAGUGAUGAAGGCCUUAGGGUUGUAAAGCUCUUUCACCGGGGAAGAUAAUGACGGUACCCGGAGAAGAAGCCCCGGCUAACUUCGUGCCAGCCGCCGCAGUAAAAC
rnacentral:rRNA from 1 species